AGGUGACCUUGAUAGACAAAUAUGCCAACGAUAUGGAUUAUAUUUUCCAAAUGAGACAAUUUUGAGGUGGUGUGCUCAGCUGAUGUCAGGGUUGCAGUAUAUUCAUGAAAGAGGAAUUUUGCAUAGAGACAUAAAGCCUCAAAAUUUGUUCCUUUGCGGUAAACAAGUCCUGAAGCUAGGUGACUUUGGAAUAUCGAGAGUCCUUCAAGACACCUCAGAUGUAGCGCUAACAUUCAUCGGCACACCGUAUUACUUGAGCCCAGAGAUUUGCAGGCAGCAGCCGUAUCCUUCAUUUUGUCCUUGAACUGUCGACAAUUGAUUUUAUGUUUUUCAACAAAUUAUUUUAUGUUUUAUGACAAUUGAUUUUUUGUUUUUCCACAAUUCAUUUUAUGCUUUUCCACAAUUGAUUUUUAUGCUUUUCGACAAAUGAUUUUAUGUUUUUCGACAAUUGGUUUUAUGUUGUGUCUGGUAUUUUAGCACCAUUUUACAUGAAGUGCGCUUCACUUCAUGUCUAUGGCAAUGCUCUUUCUACUUUUUCCUUCCUAUUACUUUUAUUUAUUUUUGUUUAUUGCUGAUCAGACAGGGCAUUGGUCGUACCGACCAUCUGCCUACUAUAGCUCAACUCCAACUUCCACUUCGUACUGGUAACUCAUAGUGGCAUCCACAUAGUAUGACCUUGUAUGAAAUAAAAUCCUCAUUUUUUAACAAA